GGCUCUUGGUCUAGAGGUAUGAUUCUCGCUUUGGGUGCGGGAGGUCCCGGGUUCAAAUCCCGGAAGAGCCC
rnacentral:tRNA from 1 species